GUGAAUCAUCAAAUUUUUGAACGCAAAUUGCGCUCCCUGGCAUCCCGGGAAGUAUGCCUGUUUGAGGGUCAGUAUUAACAAAAAAUCGGGUGGUUUGCAACUUGUGACGUUUCCGGAGGUUGGGCUAUCUUAACUUUUUUGGUUAAGGGGCUUAAAAUUGACCUUUUUUGCGCAUUUUUAGACGUACAUAAAUUUUUUUUUAUUCGUCUAUUC
rnacentral:misc_RNA from 1 species